rnacentral:rRNA from 1 species
CGGCGGACGGGUGAGUAACACGUGGAUAACCUACCUAUAAGACUGGGAUAACUUCGGGAAACCGGAGCUAAUACCGGAUAAUAUAUUGAACCGCAUGGUUCAAUAGUGAAAGACGGUUUUGCUGUCACUUAUAGAUGGAUCCGCGCCGCAUUAGCUAGUUGGUAAGGUAACGGCUUACCAAGGCAACGAUGCGUAGCCGACCUGAGAGGGUGAUCGGCCACACUGGAACUGAGACACGGUCCAGACUCCUACGGGAGGCAGCAGAC